UGAGGAAUAUUGGUCAAUGGGCGUAAGCCUGAACCAGCCAAGUCGCGUGAGGGAAGACGGCCCUAUGGUUGUAAACCUCUUUGUCGGGGAGCAAAGCCGCCCACGAGUGGGCGGAAGGAGAGUACCCGAAGAAAAAGCAUCGGCUAACUCCGUGCC
rnacentral:rRNA from 1 species